UAAGCGGAGGAAAAGAAACUAACAAGGAUUCCCCUAGUAACUGCGAGUGAAGCGGGAAAAGCUCAAAUUUAAAAUCUGGCGGUCUUUGGCCGUCCGAGUUGUAAUUUAGAGAAGCGUCUUCCGCGCUGGACCGUGCACAAGUCUCCUGGAAUGGAGCGUCAUAGAGGGUGAGAAUCCCGUCUUUGGCACGGAUGCCUGGUGCUUCUGUGAUGCGCUCUCGAAGAGUCGAGUUGUUUGGGAAUGCAGCUCAAAAUGGGUGGUGAACUCCAUCUAAAGCUAAAUAUUGGCGAGAGACCGAUAGCGAACAAGUACCGUGAGGGAAAGAUGAAAAGCACUUUGGAAAGAGAGUGAAACAGUACGUGAAAUUGUUGAAAGGGAAACGCUUGAAGUCAGUCGCGUCGACCGAGACUCAGCCUUGCCUUGGCUUGGUGUACUUCUCGGCCCGACGGGUCAGCAUCAAUUUUGCCCCUCGGAUAAUGGCAAGGGAAAGGUGGCACCUUUACGGGUGUGUUAUAGUCUCCUGUCGAAUGCGAGGGGUGGGAUUGAGGAACUCAGCGCGCACCUCAGUGUCGGGGCUUCGGCCCACGUCACGCGCUUAGGAUGCUGGCGUAAUGGCUUUAAACGACC
rnacentral:rRNA from 1 species